UUUAAAUGAGCAGCCAUAUUGAGGGUUAAAAACUUGAAAAUAAAAUAGGUGUGGUUUGCCUAGCUUGUGGGUGGAGUUUCGUCAUUUCAAGUAGUGAGAACUGAAAAGCAAAAACUAAAAGAGCUCCGAAAAUUAAAAAAGAGGAGAAUAUAAACAAGCAGAAAACAAUUUAUUGAGGUAGCUAGAUGCUAAACCCCUUUUCCAUCAUGAGGGAUGGAACAAGCUAAUUCAAAGUUUGCACUGCUUUGGUGAAUCAGUUAUUGUUGUAGCAGCUCAAGUCACUUGAUCUAAUCAAUUAAAAAUGCCAUUUUACACACGUGGCAUUGAGGAAA